CGGAGGAGAAGAAACGCCCGCUGUCUGUCAUCACAGCCAAGAAGUCCUUGAAGCCUACACGGCCAUCUCCUGUGGAGGCCAGAGGGUUUCCCAAGGAGGGUUCAGAGUACAAGAAUCCCUAAAAAAGGAGUUUUACGUCAACGGAUACAGGACUUAUUAUAAAGUGACUUAUGAUCAACACAGUGUGAUACCGGAAUGAGGACAGAGAGAUAAAUGGAACAAAGAGAGUCCAGAAAUAGGUUUCCACAUGCAUGUUCAACUGGUUUGCAACGAAGGUACAAACCCAGUGUGGAAAGGAGUCUUCAGUAAACGGCGCUGGAAUGGAUGGAUGGCCACACGCAAAAAACUGAACCGCCAUCUAACACGCGCGCACGCGCAAGGAUUAACUCAAGACGGAUCCUAAAAUGUAAAUGUUAAGCCUGACAUGA